GAAUCCAAAGUCACAGCCAACUCUGAGAGAAAUUAAACUUUAUCAAACACAAUAUUCUAAAUUGAUAAAUCAGGAAAUUGAAUGGAAGGUUAAAUUAAUGAAACAAAAACGUUUGAGUCGGCGAAUAAAUGUGGAAAACUGCUAGCUUGGCAGUUGAAGAGAAGACAAAGAUUAAACACGGUUACAAACUUAGAGGUUGAUGGAAAAAACAUUCAGAAUCCAGUGGAUAUUAGAAAGUGUUUCCAGAGAUAUUUUAAAAAUUAUACACCCAAGGGCCGCAAGACGAAGUUGAGAUUAAACAAUUUUUGGCAAAAAUGGAUUAUCUAAAUUGUCACAAGAAAACAGGACAAUCCUGAACUCUAAAAUAACACGACAGGAGAUUGAACAAGCUAUUCAGAACAUGCAACUUGGCAAAUCUCCAGGGCCAGAUGGGCUGACCUCCAAGUAUUAUAAGACAUUAAAAGACUAUUUGAUACAACCCUUGAUGGAGGUCAGCAAUGAAAUUAUGGAGGGGAAGAGGGCACCGGAUUCGUGGAAGGAAGCGUUCAUCACAUUAAUACCAAAGUCAGAAGCUGAAAAGACACAACUGAAGAACUACCGUCCCAUCUCUCUUUUAAAUGUGGAUUACAAAAUAUUUGCAGAUAUUUUGGCAAGUAGAUUCAAAAAAAGUUUUAAAUGAAGUAAUUCAUAAGGACCAGGCCGGUUUUCUCCCAGGUAGACAUCUGUUUGCUAACACAAGGAACAUUAUUGACAUCUUGGAACUUCUGCAAACAGAUAUAAAUACAAAAGCAGUUUUAAUUUUCAUAGAUGCGGAGAAGGCCUUUGACAAUAUUUCCUGGAAAUUUAUGAUGGGAAAUUUAAAAGAGAUGGGAGUGGGACGGGGUUUUGAGAAUGGGAUUGAGGCGAUAUAUUCAGAACAGAAAGCUAAACUGAUAGUUAAUAAUGUGGUCACAGAAGAGUUCAAAAUUGAAAAAGGGACACGACAAGGUUGCCCUAUCUCCCCUUUGUUAUUUAUUUCGGUUCUGGAAGUGCUACUGAACAUGAUUAGAGGGGAUCGGUUGGUGGAAGGAAUUCAGGUUGGUCAGAAACAAUAUAAACUAAAAGCUUUUGCAGAUGACCUGGUUUUGACCCUGCAGAAGCCAGAGCCCAGUACGAAAAGAGUAUUACAAUUGAUUAAUGACUUUGGUCGGGUGGCGGGAUUUAAAUUAAAUAAACAGAAAACUAAGGUUUUGGGGAAAAAUUUGACUGAUACAGAGUCAGAACGGUUUCAGAAUGAGACGGAACUUAAUGUGGUUAAAAAAGUAAAAUACCUAGGGGUAAACAUAACAGCAAAAAACCUAAGUCUAUUUAAGGAUAACUAUGAAAAAUGUUGGACAGAAAUUAAGAGAGACUUAGACAGUUGGUCAAAAUUGAAACUUUCUUUGUUAGGCCGAAUUGCUGCUAUUAAGAUGAAUGUAUUGCCAAGGAUGUUGUUUUUAUUUCAAACACUUCAGGUUUUGGACAAAGCGGAGUGCUUUCAGAAGUGGCAGAGAGAUAUUUCGAAGUUUGUCUGGCAGGGCAAAAGCCCAGAAUCAAGUUUAAGAUAUUAACUGAUGCAAAACAAAGAGGGGCUUUGCCCUGCCGGACUUAAAGUUGUAUUAUGAAGCCGCAGCGUUCUGCUGGCUAAAAGACUGGCUACUUCUUGAAGACACUGAUGUGUUGGAUUUGGAAGGGUUUAAUAAUGUUUUUGGAUGGCAUGCAUAUUUAUGGUAUGACAAAGUUAAAGCAAAUAAGGCCUUCAAGAACCAUAUUGUCAGAAAAUCAUUGUUUAAUGUCUGGACAAAAUAUAAAGACUUGCUGGAAAAUAAAACACCAAGGUGGCUUUCACCUUUGGAAGCUAAGGCCCGAAAAAGACCCAAUAUGGAGGCUAAAUGGCCAAAAUAUUGGGAAAUACUAGAAAAGGAUGGAGACAAUUGGAAAUUGCAGAGUUUGGAGAAAAUGAAAGACAAAGUGCGAGAUUGGUUACAUUACGCUCAGAUUAAAGAAGUUUUUAAAAAUGAUAAGAAACUAGGGUUCCAGGUGGAGAAAUCGAAAUUAGAAACAGAAUUGUUAGAACCAAAGAUUAAGGUACUUUCAAGGAUGUAUAACUUGCUGUUGGAAUGGAAUACACAAGAUGAAAUGGUUAAAUCGGCUAUGAUAAGGUGGGCACAGGACAUUGGGUAUAAUAUUAUGUUUGAGGACUGGGAAAGGUUGUGGAGUAAUGGAUUGAAAUUUACUGCAUGUAACGCUCUGAAAGAAAAUGUAAUGAAAAUGAUUUAUAGAUGGUAUAUGACCCCAGUUAAACUUGCAAAAAUUUACCACCUGUCUGAUAAUAAGUGUUGGAAAUGUAAAGAGUGUGAGGGAACGUUCUUCCACCUCUGGUGGACCUGCCCUAAAGUGAAGGUGUUCUGGGAAAUGAUUUAUAAUGAAUUGAAAAAGGUAUUUAAAUAUACCUUCACCAAGAAACCAGAGGCUUUCCUUUUGGGUAUUGUCAGCCAAGGGGUGGCAAAGAAGGACCAGACAUUUUUAUGUAUGCAACAACAGCAGCAAGGAUACUUCUUGCAAAACAUUGGAAAACUCAAGAUUUACCCACACUGGAAGAAUGGCAGAUGCAACUGAUAGACUACAUGGAACUGGCUGAAAUGACCGGCAGAAUUCGUGACCUGGGAGAAGAGAGAAUCGAGGAGGAUUGGAAGAAAUUUAAGAACUAUCUACAAAAAUAUUGUGAUUUGAGUGAAUGCUAAAUAAGAUGCUAGACUAAAUAACUGAGCACCACUUAACUUAGAAGUUUUUAAGAAAAUAAGUAAGACUGUGAAAGUUUAACUCUCUAUGAGAACCAUAAGAUUAUGAAAUAUUGAAGAGAUAUAAGAAUUUAAAUAAGAUGAUAAAUUGCUGACAAAAUGUUAUAACGAUGAAAGUGGGAGCGGGAGAUGUGAGGAAGUCCAAAGAAAAUGUGAAACUAUGUUAAGACAAAUGUUAUAUUGUUUACUAUGUUUAUUCUUACUGUAAAACCCAAUAAAUUGCUUU
rnacentral:lncRNA from 1 species